rnacentral:misc_RNA from 1 species
UACGUAGGUGGCAAGCGUUGUCCGGAUUUACUGGGCGUAAAGCGUGUGUAGGCGGAUGCUUAAGUAGGAAGUGAAAGGUUGGAGCUUAACUCCAACAUUGCUCCCUAUACUGGGCGUCUUGAGUGCCGGAGAGGAAGAUGGAACGACACGUGUAGCGGUGAAAUGCGUUGAUAUGUGUCCGAACACCAAUGGCGAAGGCAGUCUUCUGGACGGAUACUGACGCUGAGACACGAAAGCUGGGGGAGAGAACAGG